GUGGCAGAGCUUAGUAGGGACUAAGGGGGCCACAGCAACUCGAAGAAAAAAAAAAAUUAUAGGUAAAAUAUUCAAAAUAUAAAUAUCCUCGUUAAAACUAAGACAUUACAACCAUACCUUUAACCUAAAUCUCUCUCCUCUUCAUGUUUCUCUCCCUCCUAUCCUGCGACGAUCCUGUGAAAUUGUCCUGCCCUGCGAAAACGAACUUCAACACGAUCCUGAAACUGUCUCGCUUCCGCCUCAGUCUCACUCAUUUUCGUGUCUCGCCUCCGGCUCAUUUUCGCGUCUCGCCUCCGGCUCAUUUUCGCGUCUCGCCUCCGGCUCAUUUUCGCGUCUCGCCUCCGCCUCCGGCUCAGUUUCGCGUCUCAUCUCUCGGCCCUCCGCCUGCGGUCGCCUCUGCCUGACUGCCUCUGUGGCCGUUCGUCGCUCUCUGUUCGCCGCAACCUCAUCUGUCUCCAGAUCGCGUUACAGUUUUGUUCAAAGGAUGGGCUAAACAAUGAAAAAAUCAAUAUUUGAUGAGCAAACAUCAAAGGCAAUAAAAAAAUGGCACGCUACUGCGAAGAGGAAUUAUAGGUUAAAAUUAGGAAAGUCGAGUGCUUGAGCCAUGGACAGAAGCACCACCGACUCAAUUGUUCACCCGUCUCUGUUUCAUCCUACAAUGACCAAUGUUAGUACUAUUCUGAUAUUGAAUUUUCUCCAACAUCGAACUUGCUAGAAAGAGUGGACGAUGUUGAAGAAGAUAUAAUAGAAACUUCGAUCGAAUAAACUAUGAGUUUUUAAUAUUGUUAUGGGGUGAACAUAGGAGCUAAUUAAAUUGUGGUCGAAUAACUAUGAGCUGUUAUUAUUGUUAUGGGGGGUGAACAUAGUAGUUAAAUAAACAAUGAGAUAUUGUAUAAUUGUUUGGUUUUCCGCAAUUUUUUUCAUACUUAUCCGUAAGUAAUCGAUUAAGUCCAAAGUGAUUUAUGAACUUCACUCAAAACGAGUAUUAUGUGCC